AGGAUGAGGACUCCUCACAACAUCCAGAGAACUCAUCUGAAUCAUCGGAUCGAGACCAGCAGUGUCGUAAGCCACUCGAUCGUGCCUCGAUCCAUGAGAUAAGCCGUAGACCAUGAGAAACGUCGGAGAAACGACAUCCAGUCCACCAUGGACCGCGAGAAAUCAAGGGGAAACGCCCCUUCGGUCCACAAGCCCCUCUAUGCACCACCC
rnacentral:lncRNA from 1 species